rnacentral:lncRNA from 1 species
AUGGAGGUGGCAUUUGGGUGUCUUGGGUGUCCCCAGUGUCCAUUGGGUGGAGGUGACACUCAGGUGUCCCCAGUGUCCGUUGGGUGGUGGUGGCACUCGGGUGUCUCCAGUGUCCCCAGUGUUCAUUGGGUGGUGGUGGGACUCAGAUGUCCCCGGUGUCCCCAGCAUCCAUUGGGUGGUGGUGGCACUCGGGUGUCCCCAAUGUCCCCAGUGUUCAUUGGGUGGUGGUGGCACUCAGGUGUCCCCAAUGUCCCCAGUGUCCGUUGGGUGGUGGUGGCACUCAGAUGUCCCCAGUGUCCCCAAGGUCCUUUGGGUGGUGGUGGCACUCGGGUGUCUCCAGUGUCCCCAGUGUCCGUUGGGAGGUGGUGGCACUCAGGUGACCCCAGUGUCCCCAGUGUCCUUUGGAUGGAGGUGGCAUUUAGGUGUCUUGGGUGUCCCCAAUGUCCAUUGGGUGGAGGUGACACUCAGGUGUCCCCAAUGUCCAUUGGAUGGAGGUGGCACUCAGGCAUCCCCAAUGUCCCCAACGUCCAUUGGGUGGUGGUGGCACUUGUGUGACCCCAGUGUCCCCAACGUCCAUUGGGUGGUGGUGGCACUCAGGUGUCCCCAGUGUCACCAACGUCCAUUGGGUGGUGCUGGCACUUGUGUGACCCCAGUGUCCCCAACGGCCCUUGGGUAGAGGUGGCACUCAGGUGUCUCCAGUGUCCCCAACGUCCUUUGGGUGGAGGUGGCACUCAGGUGACCCCAGUGUCCC